rnacentral:lncRNA from 1 species
AUUACACUGCUCCGAGAUCCCCGCUGCUCAACAACGCGUACGUGCGCGCGCACGAAUACGUACGUAUAGGCUACGGGAGAAGAAUACAAACACGUAGGUACGUACACCGAGUAUGUACCGCUACACACACGCAGCUCUAGCUCUCUCCCACCAUGAGGUCUUGAACAGAGCGAGAGCACAGUUCACACGCAUGGACGACGCACGCAUGGUGUUGAGGUGUGAUUGGUGCACACCGGCCAGCCGGACGGUCCCGGCCGCCACUAGACGGUGUCGAACUCGUCGGCGGCGAGGGCGGACUGGCUCUGCAUGCGGCGGAGCUUGAAGGAGGAGAGCCUCUGGGGCGCGUCCUUGGCGGGGGCCUCCUCGAAGCGGAUGUAGGUGUAGACCCAGGCGCCGGAGAGCGUGCCGAUGACGGGGCCGAGGAAGUAGAUCCAGAGGCCCGUGUAGACGUUGCUGGCCACCGCCGGCGCCAGCGUCCUCGCCGGGUUCAUCGAUCCGCCGGACACAGGCCUGCAAAUGCCACUCGUUCCCCCGCGUCGUGUAUUAGCUUACAUGUAUAUAUGUGCGUGUGCGUCAGUAGUGGCUCAUCAGUGUGUGCAGUACUCUGUGCCUGUAGCUAAUCUUUGCUUUUUUUAGGGUAGCUAAUCUUUGUUUUCGUAGCUACUACUAGUGACUAGUUCCAAAGUCAGAGGGUCUAGAAAAUUGUUUGUUAGUGAAGGCAUGUCUGACAGGGUUCACUGAACCUAAUUCACUAGAGGUUUCGCCCUGUCGCAACCAGAGUGUCAGCUUGUACAACAACACGGUGCCAAUUUGGAGGAAAAUCAAAAAAAUGUGGCCAGCUUACUAGCAAACGACGUCAACAGCUUGAGAAGUCACGUAUGCUAAAAUUUCCUAAAAGGACCUAGGCGGUUUCUUCGGUGUCACUACUGCUAUAGCUCUUUGGUCGAAAGUCUAUCAUGUUUUAAUUCCUCGUGAGAGUACUAUAGCCGAUGUCCUUGCUGCUAAUUAAUUAGGCUAUAGCUACUACUACUAGUGUUUGGUCAGUGCUCAUCAGUGAUUGGUUAGUUAUUCAUCGUUUCGUUCAUAUUACCCUGCGAAGAUGGACGUAAUGCAAACCGCGGAACCGACUGCUAACCCGGCCAACUCACCCACCUGCAACCAAAUAAACCAAACGAAGUCGUCGUCGUCAGGGCAUGCAAGCAGUGAACCAGCAGGGAGAGAACUGAUGAAGAACAGGGGAGAGGGCAUCCUCAGCAUUGUAGGCAAUACGAGCAAACAGCAGCUGGGGACGAAGGCCACUCACCGCCCUGGAGUCCGUUGCGACGGCGCAGGUGACGAACAUCAUGUUGAAGGUGACGACGAUCUCGAUGACGAGCGCGUGCCAGUGCGGCCCCGUCGGCGUGGUGGUGCCGAUCACCUCGAUGGGGUGGAGCACCGCCUUGAGCACGAACGCCGCGCACAUCGCUCCCGUGAACUGCGCCGCCCAGUAGAACGGCACCUGCAGCAAAACACAAAACCAUCACAAACCAAACCAUGACGCCGAUGCACAGCCUAUGACGUGAUGGGCGUGCACCCAGGCAGGCACGACGCAUGAGGGCACCACGUCCAUCGAAUCGGGCCGGCCGGCCGGUCAGGUAGGGAGGAAGGAUGGACAGCUUGGAAUAUUCCGCCCAAAGGCUGUGGCUCUCGGCGAGCCCGGGCCGAGCGAGCAGUAGAGCCGCCCGUCCUGCCAUCCUGGCCGCGGCUGGCGAACGCGUGGUACGGUACGGCGCGGGGUGCGGACUUUGCAAGCAUGCCACGCCAGCCGCUAACUCCAAUUCCUCGACGAAGGCUCUGGUUCCCAAUCGUCACAGUCUCGCAGAUUAUAUUCCUCCCCCCACGCCCCCUUUCUAUCUCCGGCCGGCACGCACGCACGCACGCCCGGCGCACGCGUCAUCUUGGCCCACGGCCAAGACGCUGGCCGGCCAGCACCAUCCUGGCCAGUGGCCACCAUCUCCUUGAUGGUCAUCAGGAGUCAUGGCGGCCAGCGCUUGGCCCCUCUAAUCAAAGGACGAGAGCCGCGAGAAUGUCAACGCCGCUGAUCGCCCCCGGCCGGUACACGGUGGCCAUUAGCGGAAGCUAAUUAUCGAGGCUUUCAUGAUCCAAUAUAAUCAGUAGUCUAUACGCCAAGUUGCCCAAUCAUGCAUCCGUCUCUCACCUGCUCCUUCUUUUUUAAGAUAUAUUCUUUCUGUAUCCGAGAGAUGGAGCCUCCUCUACUGUCUGAGGUUGUUUUUAUCGGCUCACAUGCUCGGGCCUCGGCGAGCUCGAUGCCUCGAUAUGAUCAGCUUGUUUCCAAUAAUGCACCAAUGCAUGUUUCGUUUUUGGAGAUGCUGCUGCUACUGCAGGCUACCGACCUGACACCCCCGAGUAGGAAACUACGCCACCAUGGGGGAACAGAUAAGCUGUUUGCGAAAUACCUGACUUGUUUUAAGUAAUCGUGAACUGGAUGUACGUGUCAACUUGUGCUAUAGUACUAAAGUAUAGGGGUGCUGGUUGAUUAUUGGCGUCUUCUUGUGUCCAGUUGGCGGAUAAUCCAUAUACAAGUCUGAAGUUUAGCAACAAAAAAAAAGCGUUUAAAAUUGCCGGCACCAUGUGAUCGACGUGCAGUGCAAACUAUAUAUCUCUAAAGUUUGCGCCUUCGUAAAACAGCUCUGAAGCUAGCUGUGUUUAGUUUACCCUAUGGUUUCGUUGUCUUUUUUUUUUGUUGCAGUUUUCCCUCUACAGUAGUAAUGUUUCAUGCUUUGUCUGAACCCGUACCUGCACCGGGGUUGAUUUUUUUUUUUGAAAACAUACAGUUUUUUUAUUUAGAAAAUACAUAACUCUACCGCGUGUUCUACAAAAAGUUAAAUUGUAGCUAGUAGCCUGACAUGGGUAAUAGCCAGGUACACUAUAUGACAACAUGCUGACAACUAAGUCCUACUGAACUCCUAUUAACAAUAGAUUACCCAACCAAUGAGCUGCCACGAAAAGAAAUAUGAUGCCAGCACGCUAGGAGCAACGAACUCUUUCCGGUAGCCGGACGAUCACGAAACAAAUUUGGAGCAGAGAAGAGAAAAAGAAGCGCCAAGCAGGCAGAAGGGACGGAUCGAUGUGCAGUGCAGUUGGUACACCGUACACAUACCUGAAUCCAGGGGAAAUGCCGGAAGCACGCGAAGGAGAGCGUGACGGCGGGGUUCAUGUGCGCGCCGGAGAUGUGGCCGGUGGCGUAGAUCAUGACGGUGACGAUGAGGCCGCCGGCCACGGACUGCCCCAGCUGGGAGAUGCGCUUGAGGUCCUCGCCGUAGAUGGACGCCGCGCCGCAGGUCACGAACACCAGCAGGAACGUCGCCACCACUUCGGAGAUCACCUGCGCACGAGU